rnacentral:rRNA from 1 species
AGUGAACGCUGGCGGUAGGCCUAACACAUGCAAGUCGAACGGCAGCACAGUAAGAGCUUGCUCUUACGGGUGGCGAGUGGCGGACGGGUGAGGAAUACAUCGGAAUCUACUUUUUCGUGGGGGAUAACGUAGGGAAACUUACGCUAAUACCGCAUACGACCUACGGGUGAAAGCAGGGGAUCUUCGGACCUUGCGCGAUUGAAUGAGCCGAUGUCGGAUUAGCUAGUUGGCGGGGUAAAGGCCCACCAAGGCGACGCUCCGUAGCUGGUCUGAGAGGAUGAUCAGCCACACUGGAACUGAGACACGCUCCAGACUCCUACGGGAGGCAGCAGUGGGGAAUAUUGGACAAUGGGCGCAAGCCUGAUCCAGCCAUACCGCGUGGGUGAAGAAGGCCUUCGGGUUGUAAAGCCCUUUUGUUGGGAAAGAAAAGCAGCAGGUUAAUACCCCGCUGUUCUGACGGUACCCAAAGAAUAAGCACCGGCUAACUUCGUG